AAAAAGACAAACCCUGGGUUUCCAUGUCCAAUGUUUGACUGUCCGUCUUAUAUGAAAAUUUUUUAUAAUUAGUAUUUUCAUUGUUGUUAGAUGAUAAAACAUGAUUAAUACUUUAUGCAUGACUUGUCUUUUUAAUUUUUUUCAUAACUAGCAAUAGUGCCCGUGCGUUGCAACGGGAAAAACACCGUU
rnacentral:pre_miRNA from 1 species